GAUGAACGCUAGCGGCAGGCUUAACACAUGCAAGUCGAGGGGUAGAAGUUACUUGUAACUUUGAGACCGGCGCACGGGUGCGUAACGCGUAUGCAAUCUACCUUUUGCAGAGGGAUAGCCCAGAGAAAUUUGGAUUAAUACCUCAUAGUAUCUUUGCCUGGCAUCAGGUGAUUAUUAAAGUUCCAACGGUAAAAGAUGAGCAUGCGUCCUAUUAGCUAGAUGGUAAGGUAACGGCUUACCAUGGCAACGAUAGGUAGGGGUCCUGAGAGGGGGAUCCCCCACACUGGUACUGAGACACGGACCAGACUCCUACGGGAGGCAGCAGUGAGGAAUAUUGGACAAUGGGCGCAAGCCUGAUCCAGCCAUGCCGCGUGCAGGAAGAAGCAUCUGUGGUGUGUAAACUGCUUUUGUACGGGAAGAAACACUCCCUCGUGAGGGAGCUUGACGGUACCGUAAGAAUAAGGAUCGGCUAACUCCGUGCCAGCCGCCGCCGUAACAC
rnacentral:rRNA from 1 species